rnacentral:rRNA from 1 species
ACAAGCGGUGGAUGAUGUGGAUUAAUUCGAUGCAACGCGAAAACCUUACCUACCCUUGACAUGUCCGGAAUCCCGAAGAGAUUUGGGAGUGCUCGCAAGAGAACCGGAACACAGGUGCUGCAUGGCUGUCGUCAGCUCGUGUCGUGAGAUGUUGGGUUAAGUCCCGCAACGAGCGCAACCCUUGUCAUUAGUUGCCAUCAUUUGGUUGGGCACUCUAAUGAGACUGCCGGUGACAAACCGGAGGAAGGUGGGGAUGACGUCAAGUCCUCAUGGCCCUUAUGGGUAGGGCUUCACACGUCAUACAAUGGCCGGUACAGACGGAGGCGAAGCCGCGAGGCGGAGCAAAUCCGAAAAAGCCGGUCUCAGUUCGGAUUGCAGGCUGCAAUUCGCCUGCAUGAAGUCGGAAUCGCUAGUAAUCGCAGGUCAGCAUACUGCGGUGAAUACGUUCCCGGGCCUU